rnacentral:misc_RNA from 1 species
UACCGAGUUGCGGGCCCUUCGGGGUCCAAUCCUCCCAUCCGUGUCUAUUCAUACCCUGUUGCUUCGGCGCGGCCCCCGUGCCCGCCGGAGACACCAACGAACGCUGUCUGAAGGUUGCAGUCUGAGUUUUUCUAGCGAAAGCAAAAUCGUUAAAACUUUCAACAACGGAUCUCUUGGUUCCGGCAUCGAUGAAGAACGCAGCGAAAUGCGAUAAUUAAUGUGAAUUGCAGAAUUCAGUGAAUCAUCGAGUCUUUGAACGCACAUUGCGCCCCCUGGUAUUCCGGGGGGCAUGCCUGUCCGAGCGUCAUUGCUGCCCUCAAGCACGGCUUGUGUGUUGGGUCGCCGUCCCCCGGGACGGGCCCGAAAGGCAGCGGCGGCACCGUGUCUGGUCCUCGAGCGUAUGGGGCUUCGUCUUCCGCUCCCGUAGGCCCAGCCGGCUGUCCAGCCUCGCAACCCCAAUCU